rnacentral:lncRNA from 1 species
AGUCGGGCCCGGAGCCCGGAAGGAGUGCCCCGCGGAGAGUCGAGCUUCCUUCCCCGGGGCUGGGGGUUCCGCGGAGCUCGCUCUGGGCUGUGGCGUUGCUCGCCCGCGAGCUCCUGGGGAGUUCGGGGGAGCUGCUGGGCUGGUGCCUGGAGCGGGGGCCGCCUCCAAGUAUUGUCUUUCGAAUUAAGUUACUGUCGUCUGUGUUGUCAGGCAACAACUGACCUUAAAUAAAAAUGAAAACCAGAAGUAGGCUACACAUGCAAUAGGCUACACAUGCAAUAAUGGAUACUUAAGGAAUGGGAGUGGCUGCUGGUGACUGGAGCAGAGAGGGUGUGGUUUCCCCAUGUUUCGGGGCCGGGGGGAAGGAGUAAAGUCUGUGUUCAGAGCCCAGACGCCAUGUCGGUCAUCACAUCACCGGGAGAACUCGUGGAGCCUGAGGAAAGGCUACGGGGUGCCAGAGUCUGAAGGGGCGGAAGAUUGCAUUCCUAUCACGUUCGCCGUGGCGCACAGGGGCUCCGCUGGGGCCGCCGCUCCCGCAGGAGAAGUGGGCCUGAGACGGUGCGGCGUCGACCAUAGCCGGCCCAGCAGAAGCCGGGGAAGGCCACAAGUGUAACUGGGUCCGAGUACUGUGAAGAAGGCGCCUCCCAUGGAGAAAGCUACCGGGUAGUUUAACAAGGUGGAAAAGCGUUGGCCUGGGGAGGAGGAAAGGAUGCUCAGAAAGUUGCCUCAAAAGGACGCAGAAGUGGAGGUGAAUCUUCUGUUUCAGAGGCAUUUUUUUGUGCCUCUGUGAGAAUGCAUUGCUUCCUGGUUGAUCCAUCUUCAGGUUUUCUCUCCGUCCUAGUCCCUGUUCUGCCACCAUUCUGUGUUUGAAUCUGGUACCUAAAGCCGCAGAUACUUGGUUCAUAGUAGAUGUCCACUCUGCAGUGGCUGAAAACACGGAAGAAAAACCAUCUUUGCCUGGGAAGGACAUUAUUGCUAGUGCCAUUACUGUCAACAGUUGGAACAAGAUAAACGGCAUGCCCAAUCUAGUUGAGGAUUUUGGACACCGGGCCUCCCACUGGGACUCCGCCGAGAAACCAGGUCUGCCAUUGCC